rnacentral:rRNA from 1 species
UGGCGAACGGGUGAGUAACACGUGGGCAAUCUGCCCUGCACUCUGGGAUAAGCCUGGGAAACUGGGUCUAAUACCGGAUAGGACCUUUCUCCUCAUGGGGUUUGGUGGAAAGUUUUUCGGUGCAGGAUGAGCCCGCGGCCUAUCAGCUUGUUGGUGGGGUAAUGGCCUACCAAGGCGACGACGGGUAGCCGGCCUGAGAGGGUGAUCGGCCACAUUGGGACUGAGAUACGGCCCAG